AUUAUUUUAGUAAAAUUUUAUUACGUCGUCUUGAUAAGGCGGAGUUCUUUGUGAAAUAAUA
rnacentral:tRNA from 1 species